UGGGGAAUAUUGCACAAUGGGCGCAAGCCUGAUGCAGCCAUGCCGCGUGUAUGAAGAAGGCCUUCGGGUUGUAAAGUACUUUCAGUCGGGAGGAAGGUGGUAAGGUUAAUAACCUCAUCGAUUGACGUUACCCGCAGAAGAAGCACCGGCUAACUCCGUGCCAGCAGCCGCGGUAAUACGGAGGGUGCAAGCGUUAAUCGGAAUUACUGGGCGUAAAGCGCACGCAGGCGGUCUGUCAAGUCGGAUGUGAAAUCCCCGGGCUCAACCUGGGAACUGCAUUCGAAACUGGCAGGCUAGAGUCUUGUAGAGGGGGGUAGAAUUCCAGGUGUAGCGGUGAAAUGCGUAGAGAUCUGGAGGAAUACCGGUGGCGAAGGCGGCCCCCUGGACGAAGACUGACGCUCAGGUGCGAAAGCGUGGGGAGCAAACAGG
rnacentral:rRNA from 1 species